rnacentral:rRNA from 1 species
GACGAACCACACGAACGUUAUUCGGAAUUACUAGGCUUAAAGGGUGCGUAGGCUGUGCAGAAAGUUAGGUGUGAAAUCCCCCGGCUCAACCGGGGAAUUGCGCUUAAAACUACUGUGCUAGAGGAAGACAGAGGUGAGCGGAACUUCGGGUGGAGCGGUGAAAUGCGUUGAUAUCCGAAGGAACACCGGUGGCGAAAGCGGCUCACUGGGUCUUUUCUGACGCUGAGGAGCGAAAGUGUGGGGAGCGAACAGG